rnacentral:rRNA from 1 species
AUGGUGGGCGUGCUGCUGCUCUUCCUCCUCAUGCCGGCGUCGGCGACGGCGAUCGGGAUCACCUGCGGCAGCGGCCGCAACUACACGGCCAACACCACCUUCCAGUCCAGCCUCGCCGCGCUCGCUGCCACCCUCCCCACCAACGCCUCCUCCUCCCCGCAGCUCUUCGCCACCGCCACCGCCGGCGUGGUGCGCGCGCUCGCGCUCUGCCGCCGCGACACCGUCAACACCACCGCGUGCACAGACUGCCUCGCCUCCUCCUUCAAGUACGCGCAGAAGAUGUGCCCGGACCGCAGGACCGGCGCCACCGUCUACUACGACUACGACGAGGUGAACGCCCUGCAGCCAGGCUGCAUCCUCGGCUUCUCCGGCGACGCCGGCUUCCUCGGCCAGGCAUCAAGUGUCACCGGGAACGGCACCUUCUUCCAGUACUGGAACCCGGUGAACCUCCCCGGCAACGCCCGCGUCAUCGCGACUGCCGUCCGCGAGCUCCUCAACGAGACGGCACGCGACGCGGCCGCCGCGCAGAGGGGGUUCGCCACGGCCUUCAUGGACUCCAUUGGCGGCGCCGCCCCGACGCUCUACUCCCUGGCGCAAUGCACGCCGGACCUGUCCUCCCGCGACUGCCUCGCCUGCCUCCGGCGACUCGUCGGCACGGUCAACGCCACCAACUCCGUGCGCAUGGGAGGAAGGAUCUUCGUGCUCCGCUGCAACAUCAGGUUCGAGGCCUUUAUGUUCUACGACGACAAAAGCACGCGGCGGAUUCCAUUUUCAUCUCCAUCAUCCAUGGCUCCGGCACCGGCGCCGGCCCCCACAGGACAUGGAAUCAGACCUUGGGUAAUAGCUUUAUCGGUAGCUGCUCCUGUAGCACUGGUUGCUCUCUGCUUCAUCGUUUACUGUUGUUGGCUUAGAAAAAGGCAAGCAAAAAAAGGUAAAGUGACUUUACACGAAAAAAGUACUCACCAGUUUCAAGGAGAUGAACUAGUUUGGGAAAUGGAAGCGGAGUUGUCUGAAUUUUCAGUAUAUGAGUUUCAUCAGAUAUUAGAGGCUACAAGUAACUUUUCUGAGGAAAACAAACUUGGCGAAGGUGGAUUUGGCCCAGUUUAUAAGGGCUACUUUCCUGAGGGAAUAGAGAUAGCAGUUAAGAGACUUGAUUCCGAUUCAGAUCAAGGUUUCAUAGAGUUCAAAAAUGAAGUUGAGCUCAUAGCCAAACUUCAACACAGAAAUUUGGUUAGACUCAUGGGAUGUUGCUCUCAAGGAGAAGAGAAAGUACUGGUCUACGAAUAUUUGCCAAACAAAAGCUUGGACUUCUUCAUCUUUGAUGAAGAUAGAAAAGUUCUACUAGAUUGGGAGAAGCGCUUUGCAAUAAUUGUAGGAAUAGCAGAAGGACUUCUUUACCUACAUAAGCACUCUAGGUUGCGUGUUAUACAUCGGGAUCUUAAACCAAGCAAUAUUCUUUUGGAUAGCACGAUGAAUGCCAAAAUUUCAGAUUUUGGACUAGCAAAAAUAUUUAGCUCAAAUAACAAUGAAGGAAAUAAAACGAGAAAGGUGGUUGGUACAUAUGGCUACAUGGCACCCGAGUAUGCUUCCCAUGGCCUCUUCUCUGUCAAAUCGGAUGUAUUCAGCUUUGGUGUUUUAGUUCUCGAGAUCAUUAGCGGGAAAAAGAAUUCCCAUGAGUGUGGAGCUUUCAUCAACCUCAUUGGAUAUGCUUGGCAAUUAUUUGAAGAGGAAAGAUGGAUCGAACUCGUUGAUGCGGCAUUGAUUCCCAACGGCGAUUCGUCAGAAAUGAUGAGGUCCAUUAACAUUGCAUUGUUAUGUGUACAAGAAGAUGCAAUUGAUCGACCGACCAUGUUGGAUGUUGUUGCAAUGCUAAGCAGCAAGACUAUGAUCUUAAAUAAGCCUAAGCACCCAGCAUAUUACAGUAUAAGUGUAGGCAACAAAGAAGCUUCUGAUUCUGCUAAGUGUUGUAGUUUUAAUGAUGUGACUAUAUCUACGAUAACUCCUAGAUAG